UGCCUCUCCCACUUCGUUAACGCUCGCCUCUCCCUCAUCCCUCUGUGUUCAAUUGUGCCUCUCUCUCUCUCUCUCUCCCUCUCUCUCUCUCUCUCUCUCUCUCUCUCUCAAAAGACUUUGACCUAAGUUGUGUCGCAACAACAUUGACCUUGAUCCGAGGUUGUUGGCCUCCUUUUAAACCAUGAAUGACCUCGUGACCCCUAACCUCAAAUUUAGGUAGCAGACCAAGGCCAUUCAUGGUAAUUAACGAUAUACAAUCGAGAUUCAGCUGUGACAAGACUAUGAAUUACCUUGAUUGAGGUUGUCAUGGCAAUAUGUGACCUUAGCAAGCCACUAUGGCAAUCAGGCUCUGGCCUCCUUUUAAGCCAUGCAUGACCUUGUGAUCCCUAACCUCAAAU
rnacentral:lncRNA from 1 species